AUUAUUUAUAUAUUAAAAUUAUUAAUAGCCACGUGCUAAUGCACGGGCAAUUCCCUAGUUCAGGUUAUAUUUUAGGGUUUAUAGUGAAUCUAUGUUAGGACUAGAACAGGAACAAAAGGAAAAUGAAAAGAAAAUGUCAUCUUGUCAUCUGUAGCGAAUCACGCAUUAAUGAAGAAGUAAGCAUGUACAAAAUCACAUUUAAGUUGUCCUGUAUUGAGCAUGGGCUGUGCCAUUGAAAAUGUACUUGUCAUCAUCAAAGAAGGUAGAUAAGAGUGGUCAUUACAAGUUUAUUCCAAGUGUCAAUUUCAGUUGUUUGAAAGAGAGAUUUAUGAUUGUUCUGUAUUUGCUUAAAUAAACUCAAAAUAGUUGCGUAAAGAGUAAUGGCAACAAAUCACUGCACAUCAUAUUGCGAUAGUAGAGCUUGAUGCAUACCUCCGUUAUUUCUGAAACGAGAUGUCUUUUAGAUGUUGAAGUUAAGCUGCUUACACUGGUAAACAUGGAACAUUUUACAAUUUCUUUCUUUUUCCAAAUUAUUUACCUAGGUCUGAAAUACAUGAAAAGAUGAACUGUGCUCGCUGCCUUUUUCAUGAUGAUGGCCCUGAGAACAUAUUAGAGGGAGAAGGAUCAAUAAGUAGGUGUCAGUCAGAUCAAGAGGUGUUUGAUAUUGGUGGAUUUGCUGGGAUUGCUGGAAUCUUGCACCAGUUAAAGGGUUCAGAGAUGCAGGUAGGGACUCCUCUUGAAGAGGAUUUGGGUAGCUGGGGCCAUCAUUUUCACUCAACAUCAGUACCUGACGCUAUACUUCAAGUUUCAGCUGGUGAUGAGGUAACAUUUGUAUUCACAAAUCAGGUAGAUGGGAAGCUUGUACCAAUUGAAUCAAUAGCAAAUCCAAAGAUGCAGGACAUAAAAGGAAAUCAGAACCAACAUGACAAUAAGGAAAAUCUGGACCGAAAUUUGAAGCUGUUUCAACACCAUAAAUUGCCACAACCCUUUCUUCCCAGUGGAGAUUCUGUGAGAGAUUCAUUAUCUUCCUCAUUUAAGCCUUUGCUAAGAACAAAUGUGAAAAGAAUGAGAACUUUAAAAGGAACAGAGAAUGCUGACCCAAACUCUAAACAAACUUUUGGAAAUCAAUUACCAUUGAAAAGUUUAUCCCCUUGCACUGUAGAAUAUGAUGACGAUUUUGAGUAAAAUUAGUCAAGUUUUGGGCAGCUGAAAUAAAUUUCUCAUUUUGUUCUCAA
rnacentral:misc_RNA from 1 species